GGGGUGCAGUGAGAGGAAGCACUGUAAGCAGCAGACUGGCGUGCCACCCUCUUGGGCCAGCUGGUUUGAAACAUUCCCUGAGUGUGCUGGAUGGUGAGAGCAGGCCCCUGAGGACGGGUGAAAUCAAGCCUACUGAGCACCAUCUGCUUCACGUGUGUUAAACAGCUGAAGGUCAUACUUAGACUGUGGUCAGGAACAUGGAAGAAGAAUCUGCAAACUCCUGUGUCAUCAUUGCAGUUUUAUACUUUUCAUUCCAAAGAAAUUUUCCCGAGAGAGACAGACAUCCUUCCCAGCCUUGUAUCCAGACACCCAAAUAAACAGGCCACGAGGAAGAGCGUGGGUGAUGCGGAGCCCAGCGUCUUGGCGAGGGAUGGGUCUCAGAGCUGAUUCCGUCUGUUCUGCAGCUUUGCUCACAUGGUGCAGACAUUAGUAAUAAAGGAGAUGGGCUGAGCUCUGAGGCCCUUGCUGCUGGACCCCGUGACCUGAGCACUCCGCCCUUGUCGGAAGGAACCAAAUGCCCCAGGGGCCACUGAAACCCUGCAAAUCCAGCUCCCGGGCUGCUUUCAAAAAUACCAACUCCACAGAGACUGAGGGACAAGAAGAAGCAAACAGGAUGAGAUGUAAUAUUUUCAAGAUGUCAGUACUUGCCAAAUUGAUCUACAAAUUCAAGACAAUCCCUAUCAAAAUCCCAGCUGCCGGUUUUUGCAAAAAUGGACAAAUUCCCUAUGCAAAUUUUAAUAUGAAAAUGCAAGGGACCCUUGGUGGUCAAAACAACCUUGUAAAAAGAAGAACAAAAUUAAGAACUCAUAUUUCCCAAUUUCAAAAGUUACUAUGAAACUACAGUAAUCAAGAGAGUGUGAUACCGACAUAAGAAUAGGCAUAUAGACCUAUAAAAUAAACAUCAGAGUUCAGAAAUAAACCCUUUAUGGUCAGUUUAUGGUUAGUUGAUUUUUGAUAAGGGUGCCAAUAUCAUUCAGUGGGGGAUAAAAUAGUCUUUUCAAUAAAUAGUGCUGGGACAACUGGAUAUCCAGAUGCAAAGAAUUAAUUUGAACCCUACCUCACACCAUAUACAAAAAUUAAUUAAAAAUGGAUCAUAGACCUAACCAAUAAGAAAUAAAACUAUAAAAUUCUUGGAAGAAAACAGAGGUGUAAAUCUUUAUGAGCUUGGAUUAAGCAAUGAUGUCUAUAAUAUCAAAAGCACAGAUGACAAAAAAAAUUAGCUAAAUUGGAUUUCAUCAAAAUUGGAAACAUUUGCACUUCAAAGGACACUUUGAAAGUGCAAAGACAAUCCACAGAAUGGGAGAAAAUAUUUGCAAAUUGUAUAUCUGAUAAGCGACUAAUAUUUAGAAUAUAGACAGAACUGUCACAACUUAAAAUAAAAAGAACAAUAACUCAAUUUUAAAAUGCACAAAGUAUCUGAAUUCUCUAAAGAAGACAGACAAAUGGCCAGAUAAAAAGUUGCCUAACAUCAUUAGUCAUUAGGGAAAUGCAAAUCAAAACCACAAGGAGAUAUGUUUCACAUACGCUAGAACAGCUAGAAUCAAAAGGACAGCUGAUAACAAGUGUUGGCGAGGAUGUAGAGGAAUUGGAACCUUCAAGCAUUGUUGGUGAGGAUGUCAAAUGGAGCAGCUGUUUGGAAAACAGUUUGCCAACUCCUCAAAAGAUUAAAUGUAGAGUUACCAUAUGACCCAGUAACUCCACUCCCAGGUAUAUAUCUGAGCCACACAAUAUAUAUGUCCAAAUAAAACACAAAUGUACAUGGCAGUAACCUUCACAACAGCCAAAAAGUGGAAUCAGCUCCAUGUCCACAACUUAGGUGUAAAUGAAUAAAAUGUAGUACCCACACAAUGGAACGUCAUUCGUCAUAAAAUUGAAUGGAUGGCGGAUACAUGCUACAGUUGGAGGAAACUUGAAAACAUGCUAAGUCACAGAAGCCAGUUAUAAAAGACCACAUAUUAUAUGAUUCCAUUUAUAUGAAAUGGCCAGAAUAGGUAAAUCCAUAGGGACAGAAAAUCACUUCGUGUUUGCCAGGGGCUGGAUCGAGAAGGGCCAGGAGUGACUGCCAGUGGGUCAGAGGGUUCUUUUUGGGGUGACAAAAUGUUCUAAAAUUGUGGUGAUGGUUGCAAAACUGUGAAUAUAUUAACAACUAUUGUUGGAUUGUAUACUUUGAGAUGCUAUGUGAUUUAUAUAUCAAACCUUUCAAAGAAAUCAGUCAUUUUAACACACUGCACUGAUGUUAUGGGGGGUAGCUGGCCCUCAGGAUGACAGUUCCA